AGGAGGAACAACCACAGUGGCGGGACCAGCUCUGAGCCCUGGAUUCAGCCCCCGCAGUAACUACAGAGCUCUCAGCCUGCAGGGCCUGGAGGCUCCGGGGGCGG
rnacentral:pre_miRNA from 1 species